UACGUAGGUGGCAAGCGUUGUCCGGAAUUAUUGGGCGUAAAGCGCGCGCAGGCGGUCCUUUAAGUCUGAUGUGAAAGCCCACGGCUCAACCGUGGAGGGUCAUUGGAAACUGGGGGACUUGAGUGCAGAAGAGGAGAGUGGAAUUCCACGUGUAGCGGUGAAAUGCGUAGAGAUGUGGAGGAACACCAGUGGCGAAGGCGGGUUGCUGGGCUGACACUGACGCUGAUGCGCGAAAGCCAGGGGAGCGAACAGG
rnacentral:rRNA from 1 species